GUGAGGAAUAUUGGUCAAUGGGCGCAAGCCUGAACCAGCCAUGCCGCGUGCAGGAAGACGGUCCUAUGGAUUGUAAACUGCUUUUAUUUGGGAAUAAACUCCGGUACGUGUACCGGCCUGAAGGUACCAAAUGAAUAAGCACCGGCUAACUCCGUGCCAGCAGCCGCGGUAAUACGGAGGGUGCAAGCGUUAUCCGGAAUCAUUGGGUUUAAAGGGUCCGCAGGCGGUCUUAUAAGUCAGUGGUGAAAGCCUACAGCUCAACUGUAGAACUGCCAUUGAUACUGUAGGACUUGAAUUCGAUCGAAGUGGGCGGAAUGUGACAUGUAGCGGUGAAAUGCUUAGAUAUGUCACAGAACACCGAUAGCGAAGGCAGCUCACUAGGUCUGGAUUGACGCUCAGGGACGAAAGCGUGGGGAGCAAACAGGAUUAGAUACCCGAGUAGUCC
rnacentral:rRNA from 1 species